AGCCUCCAGAGUAGCUGGAAUUACAGGCAUGCCCACCACACCCAGCUAAUUUUUGUUUUAGUAGAGACGGGAUUUCACCAUGUUGGCGAAGCUGGUCUUGAACUCCUGACCUCAAGUGAUCCAUCCACCUCGGCCUCCCAAAGUGCUGGGAUUACAGUCGUAAGCCACUGCACCCAGCCUGAAGCACAUUUUUAAAGAAUGAUUCUGGCUGCUAUAUGAGUAUAUAAGAAGCAAUCAAACUCCAAAUGGUGCUGUAAACAGAACCACACAUAGACACAUCAUUCUUCUGAGGACCCUUAGAUUGACCCCAGGAGGAGCCCUAGCUGCUCUUCCCCAUUCGACGCCCUUUUGCAACAAGAAGUAGCCAGAAGGAGUCGUCGCCCAAAACUCCCUAACAGCAGUUAGUGUGGCAUCUCCACAGGGGGGAAUGUUGUAGGAGUUAUUAAGAAAUUAUUUUAGGCAGAUAGAGAGGAAAAUGGGUCCUUGGGUCCUUGGGAAGUUUUUUGUUUUGUUUCUUUUUCUUUUUUUUUGAGACGGAGUUUUG
rnacentral:lncRNA from 10 species